GAUGAACGCUAGCGAUAGGCCUAACACAUGCAAGUCGAGGGGCAUCACAUGAAGUAGCAAUACGGAUGGUGGCGACCGGCGCACGGGUGAGUAACACGUAUGCAACCUGCCUUCAACAAGGGGAUAACCCGUUGAAAGACGGACUAAUACCCUAUAACACAGGGGUCCCGCAUGGGGAUAUUUGUUAAAGGACAACCGGUUGAAGAUGGGCAUGCGUUCCAUUAGCUAGUUGGCGGGGUAAGGGCCCACCAAGGCAACGAUGGAUAGGGGAACUGAGAGGUUUAUCCCCCACACUGGUACUGAGACACGGACCAGACUCCUACGGGAGGCAGCAGUGAGGAAUAUUGGUCAAUGGGCGAGAGCCUGAACCAGCCAAGUCGCGUGCAGGAAGAAUGUCCUAUGGAUUGUAAACUGCUUUUGCAGGGGAAUAAAGUGAGCCACGUGUGGUUUUUGUAUGUACUCUGCGAAUAAGGAUCGGCUAACUCCGUGCCAGCAGCCG
rnacentral:rRNA from 1 species